UACGUAGGGAGCGAGCGUUGUCCGGAUUUACUGGGUGUAAAGGGUGCGUAGGCGGCUCUGCAAGUCAGGCGUGAAAGCUAUAGGCUUAACCUGUAAAUUGCGCUUGAAACUGUAAAGCUUGAGUGAAGUAGAGGCAGGCGGAAUUCCCGGUGUAGCGGUGAAAUGCGUAGAGAUCGGGAGGAACACCAGUGGCGAAGGCGGCCUGCUGGGCUUUAACUGACGCUGAGGCACGAAAGCGUGGGUAG
rnacentral:rRNA from 1 species